CUUCUUCAUAGUUUGAAUGGCGUGUGUGUGGGACCUGUGUGAGUGAGUAUUUGGUGAUCGCUUGAGUGAGUGAAUGCCGGGUGUUUGUGUGCGUGAGUGAGUGUUUAUUUCUGUAAAAACUACACACUGAUCUUAUUUGAUUUGGUCAGAGUUUGGCUCUGCUCUGAUCAGAGAUGAUAAGAAAAGCGCUCUCGAGCCUCCGUGGCGAUGAGCAGCAGGCACGAUUUUAGCAGGGCCUCCACGCUUUAUGUUGUGGGAAGAGAUGAUGAAUUGAUCAGAUAUACUAGAUCUGGGUGAGUUUGGGUUCAUCUCAAGCUUCACAAUGGACAAUGAGUAAAUAAGCGAUUCUGAUCUAA